rnacentral:rRNA from 1 species
UACGUAGGGGGCGAGCGUUGUCCGGAAUUAUUGGGCGUAAAGAGCGUGUAGGCGGUUCGGUAAGUCUGCCGUGAAAACCUGAGGCUCAACCUCGGGCGUGCGGUGGAUACUGCCGGGCUAGAGGACGGUAGAGGCGAGUGGAAUUCCCGGUGUAGCGGUGAAAUGCGCAGAUAUCGGGAGGAACACCAGUAGCGAAGGCGGCUCGCUGGGCCGUUCCUGACGCUGAGACGCGAAAGCUAGGGGAGCGAACCGGAUUAGAUACCCGCGUAGUCC